rnacentral:lncRNA from 1 species
UGCGGAAGCGAAGUCAAAAAUUCGAUUAACAUCCCUUACACUAAAACAAAAAACGUGCUCACAAAAUAUAAAAGAUCAAACUACCUAAAGGAGAAACUUGAAAGUAAAAGCUACGAAUAUGACUAUGGAGUCUUUAGGCGUCCCCUUCGUCGUCCUCAUGCGGAACCGGCUCGGGAACGAUGUCUUCCUGAUAUGAAAUGAUUAAAUAAGGAAUGAGCUACACUAUCCCAGU